ACGCAAGCAAGAAGCCUGGACUUCACACUUCCAUGAACCUCUCCUCUUCAGACGUAUCACUUAUCAUGGAAGGAAAGCAAAUAUGAGGAGGUGGGCUACACUGCCCUCCUUGCUUGUUGAUUCAAACGAGGAAAGCCAGUAUUAAUCUUAAUGAAGAUUGUGUCACACCCCUUUCCUCUGCAUCAACAACAGAAAGGCUAAGUGAAAUCUCAUUAUUGUCUUCAGAUGGAAGACCAUAAAGCUAUCGAAACAGAUGCAAUUACUUGAGAUGAACCUGUGAAGAAGAAGCCAUCAUUUCUGAAUCAAAAAACCAAGUAGAAUUGAGAACAAGGUCUUUCCGGCCCACCAACAAGGAUUACCUCUGUGUGCUCCAA